rnacentral:tRNA from 1 species
GGGAUGUUUAGUUUAUAAAAAAUAAUCCGUUUGCAAUGGGUAGAAGAUUAAAUAUGUCACA